rnacentral:rRNA from 1 species
UGAGCUGAGAGUUUGAUCCUGGCUCAGGACGAACGCUGGCGGCGUGCUUAACACAUGCAAGUUGUACGCUGAAUGUUCCGAAGUAGCAAUACGGAGGGACAGGAGGAGUAGCGGACGGGUGAGUACAACAUGAGAACCUAUCCUUCAAAGGGGGAUAACGUUUGGAAACGGACGCUAAUACCCCAUGAGCCGAGAGGUAAAAGCAGAGAUGCGAUGAAGGAGGGGCUCGUGUCCUAUCAGCUGGAUGGUGAGGUAACGGCCCACCAUGGCGAUGA